rnacentral:tRNA from 1 species
UGCCCCGCUGUCGUGGGUGACGUGCGUGCUGUCGGCACGCGUCGCGACGCUCGCGGCGACUCGCGUGAUCGGCACGCGCAGGGGCCG